UACAGGGGGGGCAAGCGUUGUUCGGAAUUACUGGGCGUAAAGGGCUCGUAGGUGGCCGACUAAGUCAGACGUGAAAUCCCUCAGCUUAACUGGGGAACUGCGUCUGAUACUGGAUGGCUUGAGUUUGGGAGAGGGAUGCGGAAUUCCAGGUGUAGCGGUGAAAUGCGCAGAUAUCAGGAGGAACACCGGUGGCGAAGGCGGGUCUCUGGGCCGAUACUGACGCUGAGGAGCGAAAGCGUGGGGAGCGAACAGG
rnacentral:rRNA from 1 species